GGCCUGUGUGACAUCAUAAACGAGGGAGCCAGCGGAUGCCGAUGCUUCUCUGGUGAGCCAGGCGGCCUGGACCCUCCUCGCUUCCGAGAGGGACGCCUGAGCUAAGCGUGCAAGACGGCGCCAGGCCUGGUCUGCAGGAUCCAAGGAGACCCCGCGUCGCACCGACCCACGGGGCAAAUGUCAAAAAGCAUGACAACCCCGCGCACCGGAGAAGAUAACACAGGACCGCAGUGACUGCACGGCGGUGGAAAGGAAAAAUCCAGAAAGCAGAAGGGUGUCAGGAGGCCUGAGUCUUCCAAGGGUGCCCCAUGGGGCAGCGGCUGUCCUACCCUGUAGAGGUAGUUUCGCAGGAGUGAAUCACCGGCAGCACCAACGGCCAGCUCCAGAGCCUGACAGUCCUGAGCACAGGAGGAAAAUAUAUCCACACCAUAUCUUGAGCUAUUUGAAUACAAAACCCGUUGAGAGACUCAAAA